CUGAGAACUCUAGGCUGUUUAUUUCCCUGCUCUCAGGGCUGACAAGGCCAUGCAGAAUUCCCAUGUGAAGAUAGAACAUAACCUCCAGGUCCAAGUUCUGCAGGUGGAAAGGAAGGUGCACCAGGAGGCUUGUCUUGGAAGAGAUUCCAGACCCUGUCAAACUGACAGGAACCAUCACACUUCUCUCGAUUACAAGUAAUGGAUUCUGAUACUGAAAAGAAGCCAUAUGAUAAGCUUGGAAGGUCAUAAGAAAAGUCACCAUUGCCAUGCCUUCUCCACUAUAAUGGACCCAGUCUCCUAAAGUGUAAACCAGAAAGGGGAAGAAAAUACUCACAGAAGAUAGCAGGUGGGAAGGACUUGGGAGAAAGUGAGGAUGGGGGUGGGGGGAGGAACAGGAUCAGGUAUGGGAGGAAACGGGGAUGAUAUACAGAGGGUCAGGAAUUUGAACAGAGGUGUAUAGCAGUGGGAGAUGGGGAACUGGGUAUAGCCACCAGAAAGUUUCAGAUGGGAAGCAAGAGGCUCCCAGGACCCAAUGGAGAUGAGAUUAGCUGAAAUGCCCAACCAA
rnacentral:lncRNA from 1 species